UACGUAGGCAGCGAGCGUUGUUCGGAAUUACUGGGCGUAAAGAGCGCGCAGGCGGUCGUACAAGUCGCGUGUGAAAGCCCCUGGCUCAACUGGGGAGGGUCACGCGAUACUGUUCGACUCGAAGGCAGGAGAGGGAAGUGGAAUUCCCGGUGUAGUGGUGAAAUGCGUAGAUAUCGGGAGGAACAUCAGUGGCGAAGGCGGCCAUCUGGGACAACACUGACGCUGAGGCACGAAAGCGUGGGGAGCAAACAGG
rnacentral:rRNA from 1 species